rnacentral:rRNA from 1 species
UGUAAGCGUAUACCAAAGUUGUUGCAGUUAAAACGCUCGUAGUCGGAAUUUGGCAGUUCCGGAUGUGUGCACGUCGUGUGCGCACUUCGCGGGGAUUGCUUUUGUGGUCUUGCGUAGGAUGAGGCACUUUUAUUAGUGAACGUCCUCACGCAACCACUUUUUACAGUGAGAAAAUCAGAGUGCUCAAAGCAGGCAUUUGCCGUGAAUGUAUUAGCAUGGAAUAAUAGAAUAGGACUUGGUUCUAUUUUGUUGGUUUGUUGGGACUGAGUAAUGAUUAAGAGGGACAGUUGGGGGCAUUUGUAUUUCGGUGCUAGAGGUGAAAUUCUUAGAUUACCGAAAGACAAACUGCUGCGAAAGCGUCUGCCAAGGAUGUUUUCAUUGA